rnacentral:rRNA from 1 species
GACGAACGCUGGCGGCGUGCUUAACACAUGCAAGUCGAACGGAAAGGCCCCUUUGGGGGUACUCGAGUGGCGAACGGGUGAGUAACACGUGAGUAACCUGCCCUGGACUUCGGGAUAACUUCAGGAAACUGGGGCGAAUACCGGAUAGGAAUCCUUGCUGCAUGGGGGGGGUUGGAAAGCUUCGGCGGUUUUGGAUGGACUCGCGGCUUAUCAGGUUGGUGGUGGGGUAGUGGCUUACCAGGGCUUUGACGGGUAGCCGGCCUGGGAGGGUGACCGGCCAGAAGGGGACGGGGGGACGGCCCAGACUCCGGCGGGAGGCGGCAGGGGGGGGUAUGGCACAAUGGGCGGAAGCCUGAUGGGGCGGCGGCGCGGGAGGGACGGAGGGCGUCGGGGUGUGAACCUCUGUGGCCGGUGAAGAAGGUCCUGCUCUUUGUGGUGGGGUUGACGGGAGCCGGGUGAUGAAGCGCCGGCUAACUACGUG